rnacentral:ncRNA from 1 species
UGUCUUCGGGGCGGGGUGUAAUUCCCCACCGGCGGUAAUGGAGCAGAAGCUUCGAGCCCGCGAGCCAAUGGUAUGGAGAUACCAGGCCGAUUCCGGUGCGAUCCCGGAGCCGACGGUUAAAGUCCGGAUGAAAGAAG